rnacentral:rRNA from 1 species
UCUUCCGCAGUGGACGAAAGUCUGACGGAGCAACGCCGCGUGAGUGAUGAAGGUUUUCGGAUCGUAAAACUCUGUUGCUAGGGAAGAACAAUUACCGCUCGAAUAGGGCGGCACCUUGACGGUACCUAACCAGAAAGCCACGGCUAACUACGUGCCAGCAGCCGCGGUAAUACGUAGGUGGCAAGCGUUGUCCGGAAUUAUUGGGCGUAAAGCGCGCGCAGGCGGUUUCUUAAGUCUGAUGUGAAAGCCCCCGGCUCAACCGGGGAGGGUCAUUGGAAACUGGGGAACUUGAGUGCAGAAGAGGAGAGUGGAAUUCCAGGUGUGGCGGUGAAAUGCGUAGAGAUCUGGAGGAACACCAGUGGCGAAGGCGACUCUCUGGUCUGUAACUGACGCUGAGGCGCGAAAGCGUGGGGAGCGAACAG